rnacentral:rRNA from 1 species
GACGAACGCUGGCGGCGUGCUUAACACAUGCAAGUCGAACGGUAAGGCCCUUCGGGUACGACGAGUGGCGAACGGGUGAGUAACACGUGGGUGAUCUGCCCUGCACUUCGGGAUAAGCCUGGGAAACUGGGUCUAAUACCGGAUAGGACCAUGGACUUCACGGUUUGUGGUGGAAAGCUUUUGCGGUGUGGGAUGGGCCCGCGGCCUAUCAGCUUGUUGGUGGGGUAAUGGCCUACCAAGGCGACGACGGGUAGCCGGCCUGAGAGGGUGUCCGGCCACACUGGGACUGAGAUACGGCCCAGACUCCUACGGGAGGCAGCAGUGGGGAAUAUUGCACAAUGGGCGCAAGCCUGAUGCAGCGACGCCGCGUGAGGGAUGACGG